rnacentral:rRNA from 1 species
GUGAAGCCCAGCUUGCUGGGUGGAUCAGUGGCGAACGGGUGAGUAACACGUGAGCAACCUGCCCUCCACUUCGGGAUAAGCCUUGGAAACGGGGUCUAAUACCGGAUAUGAGCUCGCAUCGCAUGGUGUGGGUUGGAAAGUUUUUCGGUGGGGGAUGGGCUCGCGGCCUAUCAGCUUGUUGGUGGGGUGAUGGCCUACCAAGGCGUCGACGGGUAGCCGGCCUGAGAGGGCGACCGGCCACACUGGGACUGAGACACGGCCCAGACUCCUACGGGAGGCAGCAGUGGGGAAUAUUGCACAAUGGGCGCAAGCCUGAUGCAGCGACGCCGCGUGAGGGAUGACGGCCUUCGGGUUGUAAACCUCUUUCAGCAGGGAAGAAGCGCAAGUGACGGUACCUGCAGAAGAAGCGCCGGCUAACUACGUGCCAGCAGCCGCGGUAAUACGCAGGGCGCAAGCGUUGUCCGGAAUUAUUGGGCGUAAAGAGCUCGUAGGCGGUCUGUCGCGUCUGGUGUGAAAUCCCGAGGCUCAACCUCGGGCUUGCAUCGGGUACGGGCAGACUAGAGUGCGGUAGGGGAGACUGGAAUUCCUGGUGUAGCGGUGGAAUGCGCAGAUAUCAGGAGGAACACCGAUGGCGAAGGCAGGUCUCUGGGCCGCAACUGACGCUGAGGAGCGAAAGCAUGGGGAGCGAACAGGAUUAGAUACCCUGGUAGUCCAUGCCGUAAACGUUGGGCACUAGGUGUGGGGCUCAUUCCACGAGUUCCGUGCCGCAGCUAACGCAUUAAGUGCCCCGCCUGGGGAGUACGGCCGCAAGGCUAAAACUCAAAGGAAUUGACGGGGGCCCGCACAAGCGGCGGAGCAUGCGGAUUAAUUCGAUGCAACGCGAAGAACCUUACCAAGGCUUGACAUGUACGAGAAAGCCCCCGAGACGGGGUUCUCUUUGGACACUCGUACACAGGUGGUGCAUGGUUGUCGUCAGCUCGUGUCGUGAGAUGUUGGGUUAAGUCCCGCAACGAGCGCAACCCUCGUCCUAUGUUGCCAGCGGGUUAUGCCGGGGACUCAUGGGAGACUGCCGGGGUCAACUCGGAGGAAGGUGGGGAUGACGUCAAAUCAUCAUGCCCCUUAUGUCUUGGGCUUCACGCAUGCUACAAUGGCCGGUACAGAGGGCUGCGAUACCGUAAGGUGGAGCGAAUCCCAAAAAGCCGGUCUCAGUUCGGAUUGGGGUCUGCAACUCGACCCCA